rnacentral:rRNA from 1 species
ACUACCCUACGGGGGGCAGCAGUGAGGAAUAUUGGUCAAUGGGCGGAAGCCUGAACCAGCCACGUCGCGUGAGGGAAUAAGGCCCUGCGGGUCGUAAACCUCUUUUGCCGGGGAGCAAGGGCCGGGACGCGUCCCGGCCCGGAGAGUACCCGGAGAAAAAGCAUCGGCUAACUCCGUGCCAGCAGCCGCGGUAAUACGGAGGAUGCGAGCGUUAUCCGGAUUUAUUGGGUUUAAAGGGGGCGUAGGCGGGCUUUUACGUCAGCGGUAAAAAUUCGGGGCUCAACCCCGUCCGGCCGUUGAAACUG